AAGACUAUACGUUCAGGGAUCAUUUCUAUAGUUCCUUACUAGAGAAGUUUCUCUGACUCUGUAGAGCACCGAAAACCAUGAGGAAGAGGUGCAGCGUUCUCUCCUGAGAGUGAAGCUGGCCUUGGGUGUUGUUUUGUGCAACUGCCCAUUGCCAUUGAUGAGCGUGCUCCUCUCUCCUGGGAGAUCCUGGAAGAGUUAGAGGGAGAGAAUGCAGUCUGAGU
ensembl:snoRNA U3 Small nucleolar RNA U3